UGGCCCCCACCAUGGUGCUUGCUGCUGAAAACUGACAAAAGAGCUCCUUCUGAGUCUGCUGUCAAGGCAGCCUUAUAACCCUUGUCCUCCAGUCUCCCAGCUGACAGUGAUCCCCUUGGUACCCAAGGCAGGGACUUCUCCUCUUUUGGCAAACCGUUGCUUGUCCUCCGGAUGGGGAAAGCACAUCAGCUGCAGCAGCACUCAUUCCCACUGGCUUUGCAGGGGACAGUCUCGAGCAAGGACUGAUGUUUCCCCCUCAGCAACUAAUAUGUCUUCCCUUGGAAUGAUCGUGCUCUCCUAGAGUUGAAGCAGCAAGCUCUUCCUCUUGCCACCACUCACUGCUCCUUUGAGAUCUGUGAAUCUUCAGGAGCAGUUUCCUUUGGCAUGUGAUGCAAUCAGAUCAGGCUAACUUUUGGCUUCCCGUUUCUUUUUUCUCUCCCAGUGCCUGCAAGGCCUGGCCUUCCUUCAUGCCAACGACGUGAUCCACAGAGACAUCAAAAGUGACAAUAUACUUCUGGGCCUGGAUGGCUCUGUCAAGUUGGCUGAUUUUGGCCUCUGUGCUGUGCUCAGCCCUGAGCAGAGUAAACCGAGGUGUAUGGCCGGGACCACUCGCUGGAUGGCACCCGAGGUUGUCAGGAGAGAGCCAUACGGCCCCAAAGUGGACAUCUGGUCCCUUGGGAUUGUGGGAAUAGAAAUGGCCAUAGGAGAGGCUCCGUAUACUUGGAAAACCAGUGCUAAGGCUAAGUAUCUGAUAGGCACACAAGGAGUUCCAGAUCUGGACAAGCUAAGCCUACAUCCCAGCUUGUGUGAAUUUCUGGAACGUUGCCUGCAGAUGGAUGUGGACAAGAGAGGCUCUGCCAAGGAACUUCUGGAGCAUCCAUUUCUCAGAUUAGCCGAGCCUCUCUCCAGCCUCUUCUGACAACCCCAUGGCUGUCAUCCCGGCAGCAAAGUAAUGCAGGAAGCAGAGGGGAUGACGAGGACCACCUGAGCACUUGGAGAACAGAGCCUCUGAGAGCAGGCAGAAAUCCUGAGGAGCCAGGGGCCAGGAAACAGGCAGCCAUCAGAGCAGGAAAGGAAGGUGGCAUCUCCUUUUCUCCCAUCUGCUGAUCCUCCUUCUAAAUUUCUGGCCUGUGAGAUGGAAUGUCAGCAUGUGGAGGUGCAGGAGCAGCCGCUGCUGCAAGGAGAAAACUUCCUGGCAGAGGUGGAGAGGGAGCAGGAGAGAUGAAGCAGGAAGUUGACACCUUGCAAGCUGAACAAGAAGACGUAUGAAGUAGGGCCAGUCAAGAGGCAAAAGGUCACAUGGCCCCUGCCACAAAAAUCUCCACUCCGAGUGCUUUUCAAAUGAAAACGUAGGACACUUGCAGCAAAGCAAUUGAGGAAGUUGAGGACAUGACCAGGAGCACUUCAGGAUUACUUUCUCCAAUGCCAGCUAGCAGCAGACUCGCAAUAAAAAUCCUAGAAACCCCCAAGCCCCUUGCAAGAUUCCUUUCCUUGUCUCCCACGCAAUAUAGCUCUACAUUCACUUCUGAAUUCUUUCUUAAAUGUCCCUCCUGUGGGCGUUCUGGUAUGGUUUGGAA